rnacentral:rRNA from 1 species
UACGGGGGGGGCAAGCGUUGUUCGGAAUUACUGGGCGUAAAGGGCUCGUAGGCGGCCAACUAAGUCAUACGUGAAAUCCCUCGGCUUAACCGGGGAACUGCGUCUGAUACUGGAUGGCUUGAGAUUGGGAGAGGGAUGCGGAAUUCCAGGUGUAGCGGUGAAAUGCGUAGAUAUUGGGAGGAACAUCGGUGGCGAAGGCGGCUACCUGGACGGGUACUGACGCUGAUGCGCGAAAGCUAGGGGAGCAAACAGG